CUACGGGGGGCGGCCGUGGGGAAUAUUGGACAAUGGGCGAAAGCCUGAUCCCGCCAUGCCGCGUGUGUGAAGAAGGCCUUCGGGUUGUAAAGCACUUUCAGUGGGGAAGAAAGCCUUGGGGCUAAUACCCUCGAGGAAGGACAUCACCCACAGAAGAAGCACCGGCUAACUCCGUGCCAGCAGCCGCGGUAAUACGGAGGGUGCGAGCGUUAAUCGGAAUUACUGGGCGUAAAGCGCGCGUAGGCGGUCUGAUAAGCCGGUUGUGAAAGCCCCGGGCUCAACCUGGGAACGGCAUCCGGAACUGUCAGGCUAGAGUGCAGGAGAGGAAGGUAGAAUUCCCGGUGUAGCGGUGAAAUGCGUAGAGAUCGGGAGGAAUACCAGUGGCGAAGGCGGCCUUCUGGACUGACACUGACGCUGAGGUGCGAAAGCGUGGGUAGCAAACAGGAUUAGAUACCCGGGUAGUC
rnacentral:rRNA from 1 species